rnacentral:lncRNA from 1 species
GGAGAGUUCAAAUCAAAUCAAAUUUUAUUUGUCACAUACACAUGGUUAGCAGAUGUUAAUGCGAGUGUAGCGAAAUGCUUGGGGCAGGUUCUGUACAAUGCAUGAACGGGCCAUGCCUUGCUGAGUAAAGAGUGAAAUGUUGCUGUACCUCUCUUGCAUAAAACAGAAAGGAAAUAAUACCAGAAAAGAAUUUAUAACACCACAAUCACUUCCCUCCCCCAUCUUUUGUUUCGUAGGCAUGGGUUCUGAACAGGUGGCCUGAAAACCAGGACACUUUACCUGAGCCUGAGGAGAAGAGAAGCCCUGACAACUAACCAAUGCAUUUUGCCAGAUAUGGAGGAGGACAUGGAGAUUGAUCGUAACGUCACUGGGAUCCUUGGAGAGGACAUCUUCCUCCGCUGUCAGUACCUGGGACAGAAUGACAUCACAGACGCCUCAUGGAAACGCCCAGACUCUAGAAUGAAGCGAUCGAUGAAGAAAUUAACAGGCUACAAGAACAACAAGGCUUUCAGCAAAGACCCAGACUUCUCCACCCCAGCCUCUCCCACCAAUCUGACUGUGAAGAUGAGGGUGUCUACUCUGGAGGCUCAGGGGGAGUACACAUGCGUGUUUGCCACUGAUGAAGAGGAGAUCACUAACAGCAUGUUUCUCACUGUCCUGGCUCGACCUGAUAUCCACACAGAGGUGACAGAGGACACAGACAACGCUACCCACUACCAGUCAGUCACAUGCUCAGCUACCAAUGGUAAACCUGUGGCUCUGAUUCGCUGGGAGAUCAACGGCAGUCCUCCUACUGACAACUCCUCUGUGGGGAUGAGGAACACCAGUUAUACCAAUGGCACUGCCACUGUGACCAGCAUUCUCCGCUUCCCCACCCACCUACAGGACCAGGACAGGGUGACCUGUGUGGUCCAGCACCCAACCCUGCCUGACCCCACCACACAUGUCACAGUGGGGGUGGAGACCUUCAUGGCUCCCAAUGUGACCAUUGAGACAUACCUGGUUCUAGAGGACGGGGAGGAGUUCUGGGUGGUCACCUGUGGUGCAGCUGGAGGGCGACCCCGAGCUGACAUCACCCUGGUGCUGCUCAAUCGGGAUGCCAGUUCCAUGCUACAGAAGGAGGUUGUCAUGGAUGCAGCAGACAAAUUAGUCAGGUCAUACCGCUUCCCAGCUGAGCUUCAUGAAGGGGAAAACAUCACCUGUCUGUUUGACCACCCCAAGUUCCCACACAGAGAGCUACGGACCACCACUUUGCCGGCAUUCUAUCUGUCUGCUGUUCGGCUGCUGAACCCAGGGUUGGCAGACCGCAGCAACAAGAGUCAGGCUGUAGAGUCAGUGGUUCUGGAGGAAGGACAGAGCAAAACCACCAUCGGGCUAAAGGUCGUUGGGGAUGUACCACGUUACGGUAUCGUAUGCACCAAGUAAGGAUACCUGUAUUACUAUCAUAAUACAGACAAGAUGUCUGUUGAUUUCUCUUGAUUGUUAACUUCAGUUCAUCUCAGAUAAAGGACAACAUUAACAUGUUGUGAUAAUCUUAUCAAUCAGCGAACAGUUACAAAAAACAACGUUUGCUGUCCCAUUUAGCCUUAUAGCAAUUUCAUUCAUUUCUGCUAUUGUUGCUAUACUAUUAUUUGCAUCAUUAACACAGGUGUUAAUAUCGUGUUAGGCAGCUGUGGUGAGAGGUUUGGUUGAAAACCACAGGCAAUAGACAGGCCCUAGACACACAUCCUGCAGAUUUGUUUUAGAAGCAUCCAGCUGCAGAUUUUGUGUGCUGACACCAAAUGGGCGACAAACCUCAAAGCACAUGCGUCUCAUAUGGUAUUUUUGCCUUUUAUGCGCACAUGCAACCUGUAAUUUAGACAUUUGUUGGUAAUGUGCUACGAACAUACCAGUCGGCGCACUAGCUCCGAUCCAUCUGGGCAUUAUGUUAAUUAACCACUGUUGCUUGUGUAGCUAGCUAGCACACACUAGUUAGCUGGCACACACUAGCCAGCUAGUACAACACUAUCUAGCUAGAUAGUACAUGUUUGCUCUAGUACACACUAGCUAGCUAGCUAGUACACACUAGCUAGUACCAAUCUUAUAAUUCUAAAUGUAAUUUCACCACCUGUGCUGUUGGUAGCGGUAACGCACCAUCCUGUCUGAAUAGAACAUAACAUGUCGCAGUAUAGCAACAAUAGUAUAUGUCUCACAGCAUCUCACAGCGUCUGUGGCGUGAGAAGAUAUCUGCUGCAGCCAGACCAUUUUUUAUCAACUUUGAAUAGCAAUCAUCAAGUUGGUGACAUUAUCCCUGGAUCUAACUAUGCGAGAACAAAAGCUCUUUGAGGUGCUGCUCUUUUUUAAUUUAACUAGGCAAGUCAGUUAAUAACAAAUUCUUAUUUACAAUGAUAGCCCACUGUCCCCCGAUAGGCCAACUUUUUUUUUUACCUUGGCAGCUUAGGGAUUCGAUCCAGCAACCUUUCGGGUACUGGCCCAACACUUUAACCACGGCUACCUGCCUCUGGAGAGUGCAAACUGUGCACACUGCCCACAAAAUGAGGUGGAAACUGAGCAGUUCCUAACCUACUGCCAAAUGUAUGACCAUAUUAGAGACACAUAUUUCUCUCAGACCCAGAAAGAAUUAUAAAACAAAUCCAAUUUUGAUAAACUUCCAAAUCUAUUGUGUGAAAUACCACAGUGUGCCAUCACAGCAGCAAUAUUUGUGACCUGAAAAGUGCAACCAGUGCAGGACAAACACCAUUGUAAAUACAACCUAUAUUUAUGUGUAUUUAUUUUCCCUUUUGGAACUUUUGUGAGUGUAACAUUUACUGUUAAUUUGUUAUUGUAUAUUUCACUUUAGUUUAUUAUCUAUUUCACUUGCUUUGGCACUGUAUACAUAUGUUUCCCAUGCCAAUAAAGCCCUUUGAAUUGAGUGUCUACCUGUAACAGUGUCUGGUCUUGUGUUGUCUCCUAGAGAAGAGCAGUCUCUCCCUGAGGGUGUGGAGGUGAUUGGCAGUGCUCUAACCCUGCAGGGUCCUGUGGAGCUCUACCAUGCAGGGCUGUAUGAGUGUGAGGCCUCCUACUACAGCCACAGGGCAUCUGUACUGCUGGACAUUACCGUUAACCCACAAGUCAAGCAGUCUGGUACGAGCAGAGUCUUGUCUACAUAUCAUAGGUUGUGUCCCAAAUAGUACCCUAUUCCUGAUAUAGUGCACUAUAGUGACAAUGGGCCCUGGUAAAAUGUUUGUGAUGUAGACUACAUAUCAUAUCAUUUGGGAUGCAGCCAACAUAUCAUCUUCAUCAUUUGACAAUGCCAUAUCUGGCAGUCUGUAAUUUGUAGCGAGACAGCAUUAUGUUAAUACAAGUGACGUCUAUCAUAAAUUGUAUUUUUUAAAUGUAAGAAAUAUUGUUAGUAUAAAUCAGAAUGUUUAUUUUCCUACACACUGUAAAGUUAAGCGAUUAGCAUGUUUAUUGCCUUCUAUCCUCUGUGUGCUAGUGACUGUUCCUCCCAGCAUAAGGGUUGAUGUCCAGGACAGACUGGGUAACAGGUUCAUUGAGUGCCUGGCUGCAGACUCUGUCCCCAUUGCCAAUGUGUCCUGGGUUCUACCUGAGGGUGUGUCUGGGCCCUCCUGGUCCAGUCUCACAUCCCAUAAUGGAACCCACUCUGUCAGCAGUGUGUUAGUCCUGCCUGCCU